rnacentral:rRNA from 1 species
GAUGAACGCUAGCGGCAGGCCUAAUACAUGCAAGUCGAACGGUAAGUAUUUUAGCAAUAGAAUACGAGAGUGACGUACGGGUGCGUAACACGUAUGCAACCUACCCUUUACAGGAGGAUAGCUCGGGGAAACUCGAAUUAACCCUCCAUGAGAUCACAGUGUGGCAUCACACAGUGAUUAAAACUCCGGUGGUAAAGGAUGGGCAUGCGUCUGAUUAGUUAGUUGGCGGGGUAACGGCCCACCAAGACGAUGAUCAGUAGGGGAACUGAGAGGUUGAUCCCCCACACUGGCACUGAGAUACGGGCCAGACUCCUACGGGAGGCAGCAGUAGGGAAUAUUAGUCAAUGGAUGGAAGUCUGAACCAGCCAUGCCGCGUGCAGGAAGAAGGCCUUCUGGGUUGUAAACUGCUUUUGCCAGGGGAUAAAAAGCCAUGCGUGGUUAAUUGAAGGUACCUGGUGAAUAAGCCACGGCUAACUACGUGCCAGCAGCCGCGGUAAUAC